GCGGGUGUAGCCAAGUGGUAAGGCGCUGGAUUGUGACUCCAUUACUCGCGGGUUCGAACCCCGUCACUCGCC
rnacentral:tRNA from 1 species